UACGUAGGGGGCUAGCGUUGUCCGGAUUUAUUGGGCGUAAAGAGCGUGUAGGCGGCCAGGUAGGUCUGCUGUGAAAACUCGAGGCUCAACCUCGAGACGUCGGCGGAAACCAUCUGGCUAGAGUCCGGAAGAGGAGAAUGGAAUUCCCGGUGUAGCGGUGAAAUGCGCAGAUAUCGGGAGGAACACCGAUGGCGAAGGCAGGUCACUGGGCCGCAACUGACGCUGAGGAGCGAAAGCAUGGGGAGCGAACAGG
rnacentral:rRNA from 1 species